rnacentral:rRNA from 1 species
GAUGAACGCUGGCGGCGUGCCUAAUACAUGCAAGUCGAGCGAAUGGAUUAAGAGCUUGCUCUUAUGAAGUUAGCGGCGGACGGGUGAGUAACACGUGGGUAACCUGCCCAUAAGACUGGGAUAACUCCGGGAAACCGGGGCUAAUACCGGAUAACAUUUUGAACCGCAUGGUUCGAAAUUGAAAGGCGGCUUCGGCUGUCACUUAUGGAUGGACCCGCGUCGCAUUAGCUAGUUAGUGAGGUAACGGCUCACCAAGGCAACGAUGCGUAGCCGACCUGAGAGGGUGAUCGGCCACACUGGGACUGAGACACGGCCCAGACUCCUACGGGAGGCAGCAGUAGGGAAUCUUCCGCAAUGGACGAAAGUCUGACGGAGCAACGCCGCGUGAGUGAUGAAGGCUUUCGGGUCGUAAAACUCUGUUGUUAGGGAAGAACAAGUGCUAGUUGAAUAAGCUGGCACCCUGACGGUACCCAACCAGAAAGCCACGGCUAACUACGUGCCAGCAGCCGCCGUAA